rnacentral:rRNA from 1 species
AUUGAACGCUGGCGGCAGGCCUAACACAUGCAAGUCGAACGAGUGGCGGACGGGUGAGUGAUGUCUGGGAAACUGCCUGAUGGAGGGGGCUAACUACUGGAAACGGUAGCUAAUACUGCAUACCAUCAGAUGUGCCCAGAUGGGAGUAGCUUGUUGGUGGGGUAACGGCUCACCCAGGCGACGCUCCCUAGCUGGUCUGAGAGGAUGAGCGGCCACACUGGAACUGAGACACGGUCCAGACUCCUACGGGAGGCAGCAGUGGGGAAUAUUGCACAAUGGGCGCAAGCCUGAGACAGCCAUGCCGCGUGAAUGAAGAAGGCCUUCGGGUUGUAAAGUACUUUCAGCGGGGAGGCGUUACCCGCAGAAGAAGCACCGGCUAACUCCGUGCCAGCAGCCGCGGUAAUUC